rnacentral:rRNA from 1 species
GGGUAGAGCACUGUUUCGGCUAGGGGGCCAUCCCGGCUUACCAACCCGAUGCAAACUGCGAAUACCGGAGAAUGUUAUCACGGGAGACACACGGCGGGUGCUAACGUCCGUCGUGAAGAGGGAAACAACCCAGACCGCCAGCUAAGGUCCCAAAGUCAUGGUUAAGUGGGAAACGAUGUGGGAAGGCCCAGACAGCCAGGAUGUUGGCUUAGAAGCAGCCAUCAUUUAAAGAAAGCGUAAUAGCUCACUGGUCGAGUCGGCCUGCGCGGAAGAUGUAACGGGGCUAAACCAUGCACCGAAGCUGCGGCAGCGACACUGUGUGUUGUUGGGUAGGGGAGCGUUCUGUAAGCCUGUGAAGGUGGCCUGUGAGGGUUGCUGGAGGUAUCAGAAGUGCGAAUGCUGACAUAAGUAACGAUAAAGCGGGUGAAAAGCCCGCUCGCCGGAAGACCAAGGGUUCCUGUCCAACGUUAAUCGGGGCAGGGUGAGUCGACCCCUAAGGCGAGGCCGAAAGGCGUAGUCGAUGGGAAACAGGUUAAUAUUCC